GACGAACGCUGGCGGCGUGCUUAACACAUGCCAGUCGAACGGUGAAGCGAGUGCUUGCACUUGUGGAUCAGUGGCGAACGGGUGAGUAACACGUGAGUAACCUGCCCAUCACUCUGGGAUAAGCACUGGAAACGGUGUCUAAUACUGGAUACGACCAACCCUUGCAUGGGGUGUUGGUGGAAAGAUUUAUCGGUGAUGGAUGGACUCGCGGCCUAUCAGCUUGUUGGUGGGGUAAUGGCCCACCAAGGCGACGACGGGUAGCCGGCCUGAGAGGGUGACCGGCCACACUGGGACUGAGACACGGCCCAGACUCCUACGGGAGGCAGCAGUGGGGAAUAUUGCACAAUGGGCGAAAGCCUGAUGCAGCGACGCCGCGUGAGGGAUGACGGCCUUCGGGUUGUAAACCUCUUUCAGCAGGGAAGAAGCGAAAGUGACGGUACCUGCAGAAGAAGCACCGGCUAACUACGUG
rnacentral:rRNA from 1 species